CACGUAGGGUGCGAGCGUUGUCCGGAAUUAUUGGGCGUAAAGAGCUCGUAGGCGGUGUGUCGCGUCGGCCGUGAAAACCUGGGGCUUAACUCUGGGCUUGCGGUCGAUACGGGCAUCACUGGAGUUCGGCAGGGGAGACUGGAAUUCCUGGUGUAGCGGUGAAAUGCGCAGAUAUCAGGAGGAACACCGGUGGCGAAGGCGGGUCUCUGGGCCGAUACUGACGCUGAGGAGCGAAAGCAUGGGUAGCGAACAGG
rnacentral:rRNA from 1 species